rnacentral:rRNA from 1 species
CCCUUAGAUGUUCUGGGCCGCACGCGCGCUACAAUGAUGAAUUCAACGAGUUUAUAACCUUGGUUGAAAAGCCUGGGUAAUCUUUUGAACUUUCGUCGUGAUGGGGCUAGACCCUUGCAAUUAUUGGUCUCCAACGAGGAAUUCCUAGUAAACGCAAGUCAUCAGCUUGCAUUGAUUACGUCCCUGCCCUUUGUACACACCGCCCGUCGCACCUACCGAUUGAAUGGUCCGGUGAAAUCUUCGGAUUGAGACUUUGAUUUCUUCGCGGAAAACGCUGUUUUAAAAAGUUGAUUAAACCUUACCAUUUAGAGGAAGGUGAAGUCGUAACA